GACGAACGCUGGCGGCGUGCCUAAUACAUGCAAGUAGAACGCACAGUUUAUACCGUAGCUUGCUACACCAUAGACUGUGAGUUGCGAACGGGUGAGUAACGCGUAGGUAACCUGCCUGGUAGCGGGGGAUAACUAUUGGACACGAUAGCUAAUACCGCAUAAUAUUAAUUAUUGCAUGAUAAUUAAUUGAAAGGUGCAAUUUCACCACUACCAGAUGGCCCUGCGUUGUAUUAGCUAGUAGGUGAGGUAACGGCUUACCUAGGCCACGAUUCAUAGGCGACCUUGGAGGGUGGUCGGGCAACAUGGGAAUGGGACACGGCCCAGACUCCUACGGGAGGCAGCAGGAGGGGAUCUUCGGCAAUGGGCGAAAGGCUGACCGAGCAACGCCGCGUGGGUGAAGAAGGUUUUCGGAUCGUAAAGCUCUGGUGUAAGGGAAGAACGGGUGUGAGAGUGGAAAGUUCACACUGUGACGGUAUCUUACCAGAAAGGGACGGCUAACUACGUG
rnacentral:rRNA from 1 species